rnacentral:rRNA from 1 species
UACGGAGGGCGCGAGCGUUAAUCGGAAUUACUGGGCGUAAAGAGCGCGUAGGCGGGAUAGCAAGUCAGAUGUGAAAUCCUAUGGCUUAACCAUAGAACUGCAUUUGAAACUAUUAUUCUUGAGUGCAGGAGAGGAAAGUGGAAUUCCUAGUGUAGCGGUGAAAUGCGUAGAUAUUAGGAAGAACACCGGUGGCGAAGGCGACUUUCUGGACUGUAACUGACGCUGAUGCGCGAAAGCGUGGGGAGCAAACAGG